ensembl:lncRNA
CAGAGUAGUGCGGGUCUCGGCACCGUGCUGCCUCUUACUAGUUUCGAGAACAUCCUUUUUUUUCUCUUCAGUAUAACUCUCGCCACAGCCAUCAUUUGUAUCAACGUGUCCGUGUUUGUGUCCAUCGUGAUGAACAGAUCCCUGCGCAGCGAGAACCGCUUCAUGUACAUGCUCAGCACGUGUCUCAGUGACUUCUGCACGGGCGUCUCCUAUUAUUAUGUUGGAGUUAUGGAUGUACGCGAUUAUUAUGACUCACCGACUCGCACUUUCUACAUUGUUCCCAUUUUCUUGGGUCUGUCCUAUAUGGCGAUUCUGGCCGCGCAGGCGGACCGCUACCACGCGGUCUCAGCGCCUUUCAAAUACUCGCAGCGCAUGACGCGGAGCAGAACCCUGCUGGUGAUUCUGGCCUACUGGCUUUAUGCUUUUCUCAUAGUGGCUGUUAAUAAUUUGGUGCCUGUGGAGGUUGCUAAAAGAGUGACGGGCUUUGGUACUUUAGUAGUGAACAUUUUCACCGUCAUUAUCAUGAUUGGGUUGAACGUCAGGCUGUUCUUCAUCGCCAGAUUUCAGCUGGAACGCGAACCCCCGAGCGAGGAACGCGACAACAAGCGCGCGUCCAUUUAUCUCAUCAUAAUAGUGGCCGUGUGUUUUCUGAUCGCGUGGUUGCCUCUUUUUCUUCAUGUCAUUAUAUGUAAUUUUGCUGGGUCUACGUGCUAUACGUUCAGAAAUGAGGGCACAGACCCCCUGCGCAUUUUGGCGCGUCUCAAUGCAGUCAUCACACCAUUACUGUACAUCAGAGGCUGUACUGCACUCAGGAGCACCAUAAUGAUUCAAGUCUGGAGAAUAGCAUGCUACAAGAGGAAAGGGAUGAAGAUGCCAGGAUUCAUUGGGCUCAAAUUUUGAAAGACUGGUUCAAGGAACAUGAGGAAUCAUUUUCACACAUGAACUGGCCACCACAGAGUCCUGAGCUCAACUCCACUGAAAGUCUUUGGAUGUGCUGGAGUCAACUUUACAGAGUGGUCCGACUCUCCCAUUUUCAAUACAAGAUCUUGGCCGAAAAUCAAUGCAACUCUUGAUGGAAAUAAAUGCUGUGAUGUUGCAUAAAGUAGUCAAAACAAUGCCACAACAAAAGCACAUGGUACUAAAAGCUAAAGGUGCUCCAACAAAAUGUUAAAGUGUGCAGCCUUUUUUUUAUUUUUUAUUUUUGGCUAGGCAGUGUAUAUUUAAAUAUUCAGUAAACAUUUGUGAAUCCAAAACACACAAGUUAAAGCUAACUCUAGUAUGAGCAGUUUCAUGUCCCUGUCCUUUUUUUUCCCACUUGGCAUGUCUGUUGAAUCUUCAAAUAGC